rnacentral:rRNA from 1 species
AUUCCAGCUCCAAUAGCGUAUAUUAAAGUUGUUGCGGUUAAAAAGCUCGUAGUUGGAUUUCUGCUGAGGAUGACCGGUCCGCCCUCUGGGUGAGUAUCUGGCUCAGCCUUGGCAUCUUCCUGAAGAACGUAUCUGCACUUGACUGUGUGGUGCGGUAUUUAGGACAUUUACUUUGAGGAAAUUAGAGUGUUUCAAGCAAGCGCACGCCUUGAAUACAUUAGCAUGGAAUAAUAAGAUAGGACUUAGUCGUUAUUUUGUUGGUCUUGCACGUCUAGGUAAUGAUUAAUAGGGAUAGUUGGGGGUAUUCAUAUUUAAUUGUCAGAGGUGAAAUUCUUGGAUUUAUGAAAGAUGAACUUAUGCGAAAGCAUUUACCAUGGAUGUUUUCAUUA